GAUGAACGCUGGCGGCGUGCCUAAUACAUGCAAGUCGAGCGAACGGACGAGAAGCUUGCUUCUCUGAUGUUAGCGGCGGACGGGUGAGUAACACGUGGAUAACCUACCUAUAAGACUGGGAUAACUUCGGGAAACCGGAGCUAAUACCGGAUAAUAUUUUGAACCGCAUGGUUCAAAAGUGAAAGACGGUCUUGCUGUCACUUGUAGAUGGAUCCGCGCUGCAUUAGCUAGUUGGUAAGGUAACGGCUUACCAAGGCAACGAUGCAUAGCCGACCUGAGAGGGUGAUCGGCCACACUGGAACUGAGACACGGUCCAGACUCCUACGGGAGGCAGCAGUAGGGAAUCUUCCGCAAUGGGCGAAAGCCUGACGGAGCAACGCCGCGUGAGUGAUGAAGGUCUUCGGAUCGUAAAACUCUGUUAUUAGGGAAGAACAAAUGUGUAAGUAACUGUGCACAUCUUGACGGUACCUAAUCAGAAAGCCACGGCUAACUACGUG
rnacentral:rRNA from 1 species